UUAUUCGAAUAAACUGGGGUAAGAUUGUUGCUGGCUCUUAGGAGUAUGUGCACGUCUAUUCCAUUUUUAUUUAACCACCUGUGAACUCUGUGUAGAUCUGAAAAACUUUCGAGGACAACUCGGUUACAAGGAAUUGCUGAGCAUAAGCCGGCUGUUCUUUAUCCUAUUUCAGAUCUAUGUUUUUAUAUACUCCAUAUCAAGUUUAAGAUUGUAAUUGUUAGGCAUAUUGUUGCCUUAUAAAUAAUCUAUACAACUUUCAACAACGGAUCUCUUGGCUCUCGCAUCGAUGAAGAACGCAGCGAAAUGCGAUAAGUAAUGUGAAUUGCAGAAUUCAGUGAAUCAUCGAAUCUUUGAACGCACCUUGCGCUCCUUGGUAUUCCGAGGAGCAUGCCUGUUUGAGUGUCGUGAAAUUCUCAACCUUUCGAGCUUUUUCUUUAAGAAGCUUUUGAAGGGCUUGGACUUGGGUGUUUUGCUGGUUCUGGCGAAUCAGCUCACCUUAAAUGUAUUAGCAAGAUAAAUCGCUGAAUCAUCUUUGAUAUGAUAAUUAUCUAUGUCAUUGACGACACAGUGCUUUUCCCGUCCAGGGGAAGGAUCUGGCUUCUAAUCGUCUUUUAAGACAACCUUAUGAAAUAUUUGACCUCAAAUCAGGUAGGACUACCCGCUGAACUUAAGCAUAUCAAUAAGCGGAGGAAAAGAAACUAACAAGGAUUCCCCUAGUAACUGCGAGUGAAGCGGGAAAAGCUCAAAUUUAAAAUCUGGUGGUCUUUGGCUACC
rnacentral:rRNA from 1 species